ACGGAAGGCAGCAGUGGGGAAUAUUGCACAAUGGGGGAAACCCUGAUGCAGCGAUGCCGCGUGAAGGAAGAAGUUCUUCGGAAUGUAAACUUCAAUCAGCAAGGAAGAAAACGGACAGUACUUGACUAAGAAGCCCCGGCUAACUACGUGCCAGCAGCCGCGGUAAUACGUAGGGGGCAAGCGUUAUCCGGAAUUACUGGGUGUAAAGGGUGCGUAGGCGGUAAAGCAAGUUAGAUGUGAAACCUCAGGGCUUAACCCAGAGCAUGCAUCUAAAACUUCUGGACUAGAGUAUAGGAGAGGAAAGCGGAAUUCCUAGUGUAGCGGUGAAAUGCGUAGAUAUUAGGAGGAACACCAGUGGCGAAGGCGGCUUACUGGACUGUAACUGACGUUGAGGCUCGAAAGCGUGGGGAGCAAACAGGAUUAGAUACCCUGGUA
rnacentral:rRNA from 1 species